rnacentral:rRNA from 1 species
UUGACCUCAAAUCAGGUAGGACUACCCGCUGAACUUAAGCAUAUCAAUAAGCGGAGGAAAAGAAACUAACAAGGAUUCCCCUAGUAACUGCGAGUGAACCGGGAAAAGCUCAAAUUUUGAAUCUGGCGGUCUUUCGGCCGUCCG